GACGAACGCUGGCGGCGUGCUUAACACAUGCAAGUCGAACGGAAAGGCCCUGCUUUUGUGGGGUGCUCGAGUGGCGAACGGGUGAGUAACACGUGAGUAACCUGCCCUUGACUUUGGGAUAACUUCAGGAAACUGGGGCUAAUACCGGAUAGGAGCUCCUGCUGCAUGGUGGGGGUUGGAAAGUUUCGGCGGUUGGGGAUGGACUCGCGGCUUAUCAGCUUGUUGGGGGGGUAGUGGCUUACCAAGGCUUUGACGGGUAGCCGGCCUGAGAGGGUUACCGGCCACAUUGGGACUGCGAUACGGCCCAGACUCCUACGGGAGGCAGCAGUGGGGAAUAUUGCACAAUGGGCGGAAGCCUGAUGCAGCAACGCCGCGUGCGGGAUGACGGCCUUCGGGUUGUAAACCGCUUUCGCCUGUGACGAAGCGUGAGUGACGGUAAUGGGUAAAGAAGCACCGGCUAACUACGUG
rnacentral:rRNA from 1 species